CUAACUGGAGGACCGAACCGACUAAUGUUGAAAAAUUAGCGGAUGACCUGUGGCUGGGGGUGAAAGGCCAAUCAAACCGGGAGAUAGCUGGUUCUCCCCGAAAGCUAUUUAGGUAGCGCCUCGUGAAUUCAUCUCCGGGGGUAGAGCACUGUUUCGGCUAGGGGGCCAUCCCGGCUUACCAACCCGAUGCAAACUGCGAAUACCGGAGAAUGUUAUCACGGGAGACACACGGCGGGUGCUAACGUCCGUCGUGAAGAGGGAAACAACCCAGACCGCCAGCUAAGGUCCCAAAGUCAUGGUUAAGUGGGAAACGAUGUGGGAAGGCCCAGACAGCCAGGAUGUUGGCUUAGAAGCAGCCAUCAUUUAAAGAAAGCGUAAUAGCUCACUGGUCGAGUCGGCCUGCGCGGAAGAUGUAACGGGGCUAAACCAUGCACCGAAGCUGCGGCAGCGACACUGUGUGUUGUUGGGUA
rnacentral:rRNA from 1 species